AAGUAAGAAGCAAAUAUUGCAAUCAGUUUCGACCUGAUCAUUGAUGAGAAAUCAUCCUUACUUU
rnacentral:tRNA from 1 species